AGUGAACGCUGGCGGUAGGCCUAACACAUGCAAGUCGAACGGCAGCACAGUAAGAGCUUGCUCUUACGGGUGGCGAGUGGCGGACGGGUGAGGAAUACAUCGGAAUCUACUUUUUCGUGGGGGAUAACGUAGGGAAACUUACGCUAAUACCGCAUACGACCUACGGGUGAAAGCAGGGGAUCUUCGGACCUUGCGCGAUUGAACGAGCCGAUGUCGGAUUAGCUAGUUGGCGGGGUAAAGGCCCACCAAGGCGACGAUCCGUAGCUGGUCUGAGAGGAUGAUCAGCCACACUGGAACUGAGACACGGUCCAGACUCCUACGGGAGGCAGCAGUGGGGAAUAUUGGACAAUGGGCGCAAGACUGAUCCAGCCAUACCGCGUGGGUGAAGAAGGCCUUCGGGUUGUAAAGCCCUUUUGUUGGGAAAGAAAAGCAGCAGGUUAAUACCCCGCUGUUCUGACGGUACCCAAAGAAUAAGCACCGGCUAACUUCGUG
rnacentral:rRNA from 1 species